AGAACCUAUUAGGUAAUUAACACGAAUUGUUCAUCCCUGUAUUCUCUCAUUUUUGACAAUUCAGUCUCACUUGUCUGCAUCAAGCUUCAACUCUCUCCACUUCUUCAAUCAGGACUUUAGUAGGUUUUCCCAACAGAUCAGUGUACUCCUGGAAAGGUGACUUUGUGAAGCGGGUUUCCCUCCAGAAGUCAGGAGUCAAGAACCCAUAGGUCCUAAGAAGGCAAUCAAAAGUGGCCUGCAUUGGACACGGAAUGUGGGUCGAUUACAUCAAAAGAGAACGACAACAAAAGAACAAUAAAAUUAAACUAUAAAGAAGCAACCCAUCAAGUAAUCCAUCAUAAAAAAAGCAAGAGCAUUUAGUUCUACUUAUUACUACUAGCAGGUGUUUAGGGACAGCCAACUCAAACCAUUGUCGCAUCUCAUUUAACUAUAUCAUAUUAUAAGCUACUAAUGAACUAUGGUGGAAUGGAAGAAAAGAAAUGGUAAAAAAGAAAAUUUUCAUCUUAAAUAAAAUAAAGCAGACGUGAUUUUUGGGCAUCUUGUACUUUCACGAUCAUAUGCAAAUAAGCAAAGCAUCAGUAAAUGAUGAUGACUGUCAUUAGAUCAAACCAACAAAAUAAAGAAUUCAGGAACAAUCCAAUCAUAAUAGAAACAGUGAGCAGAUGCAUGACAAGUCUUAAGAAAUUCGUUACAUUCAACUAGCAAACAAGAAAUCAUGAAAUUUUUUUUUUGUGUGUGUGUGUGUGGAAUCUUCAGAAAUUCAUUGCAGCCAUUAGCGUAAUAGGACCACAAACCUGACAAUAUAGUCUAACACAAAGAGAGAUUAAACAAAAGAACUUGUGGAAUCGCAAUAAAGCCCAACAAUGAGAAACAAAUAUACAUAACAAUAUAGUCUAAGAAAUAAUAUUUCAGCUCCUAAACAAAAUCAACAAUAUGAGACAUCUAGAAUAAAAAUAAACCAAACAUAACAAACUAUAGAAAAUGUAGCUUCAAUGCUCUUAUAUAAACAAUUAGCUUCCCAUAUAACAGUAUAAGAAAACAUAAGAGAAGAAUAAAAAGAACAGACCUUCACGAAAUUUCCAAGAGUCUUGGUAGAGCCCCUGGAUGAGGUGAACACAUCCUCAAUUCCAGCAAACUGCAAAACCUUCUUGGGGACUCGAGCAGCGACAAUCCCAGCACCACGUGGAGCAGGCCCCAUUCUCACUGUAACGGAUCCACACUUGCCAGUCUCCUUGCAAGGCACUGUAUGUGGCUUUCCGAUCUUGUUACCCCAAUAGCCUCUCCUCACUGGUAUCACAGACAGUUUGGCUAAAAUGAUUGCGCCACGAAUGGCAGUAGCAACCUCCUUCGAACACUUGACUCCCAAUCCGACGUGGCCAUUUCCGUCGCCAACGACCACAAAGGCCUUGAACCUUGUUCGCUGACCCGCACGGGUUUGUUUCUGCACGGGAGUGAUCUUCAUGACCUCAUCCUUGAGGGAUGGACCGAUGAGAGUGUCGACGAUCUGGUGCUCUUUGAUUGGGAGAGAAUGAAGGUAUAUCUGCUCUAAGCUUCUGAUCUUGCCUUCUUUAACCAAACGUCCGAGUUUAGUAACUGGCACCCACUUCUCCUCCUCAUCACGGCGAGCACGACGUCGGCCUCUUCCUCCGCGGUCACCACGAGGGGCACCGCCGAAGCCUCGGCGAAAGGCACCUCUUUCUCCUCCAGCUCCUCUUUCCGCCAUGGUUUUAGCUAAGGGGGGUUAGGGUUGAGAGAAAGAGAAACGAGUAUAGGUCUUCAAGAGAAGAAGCAAAUUGGUGGUGUAUCUAAGGGAAAGUAGAUACGGCGGGGUUAAGAGUUAUAUAUUGCUAGGGUUUUGCAGAUGCGAACGUAGUCUGCAGAACUUAGAAGGGUAAUGGGCUGGGCUAAGAUCACAUAAUUUUAAAUGGGCUGUCUCUGCGGGUCCAACGCUGCUAGAAGUCAAUAGCUACUAUCUUUUCUGCUUGAAGAAUUGGGCCCUGCUUGAAUUCAUCUGAGCUCCUCUCUUUAGAUAUUGAUCUAGUGAUAUUAACUUCCCUGGACUGUUUUUUUCUCUCUUUUUCAUAGGGUGAUAAUACAGGCAUUCGAAUGAACUUUUUGACGAAUUUAUUCAAUUUACUUCAAACAUAAAGUAUUAUGUUCGGUAUUAAUUCUACAUAUCCAGAUAGCCCAGGUUGAUCCAAAGCAGAAAUCACUUUUAUAUUAAUUAAAAUUGUUGGUCAAUCAACAAAAUCGAAUCGAUAAGUUGCAUAUAUAUGUGUAUAACUUUAACUAAAGAAUUAUUUGAGAAGUUACACUGAUAUAGUGACAUAUAGCGGCGAUGAAACUGCGGGUGACUGAUAGAAAAUGGCUAUUCUACGAUUAAAAAAAAAAAAAGUCCAUUGGAAUGAACAAAAAUCUCUUCUGAUAUGGAGUGAGUAUCAAGUCAUAAUGAGCUUCACUUACCCCCAAAACAAAAGAGAGAAUCAUGGAUUUCUAACUUCUGCCUCGAGACUUGGAUAAACAAGUAACAAAAAAAAAUGAAGUGAAAACUGAGAUGCUAAGAAAACUUAGGAAAGCAAACAAAUCCAUUUCCACCUUCGUCAAAACAAAACAAAUACUAGAUCCCGAAAAAUCAAACAAAACCGUUAAAAGAAAAAGAUAGCGUGCUUAAAGUCUUAAGAACUAUGGGGUAAUUAACAUGAAUUGUUCAUCCCUAUAUUUUCUCAUAUUUGAGAACUCAGUCUCAUUUGUCUGCGUCAAGCUUCAACCCUCUCCACUUCUUCAAUCAGGACUUUUGUAGGUUUUCCCAACAGAUCAGUGUACUCCUGGAAAGGAGACUUUGUAAAGCGGGUUUCCCUCCAGAAGUCAGGAGUCAAGAACCCGUAGGUCCUAAGAAGGCAAUCAAAGGUGGCCUGCAUUGGACAUGGAAAGUGCAUAGAUUCAAUCAAAAGAGAAUGACAACAAAAAACAAUAUAAUUGAACUAUAAAGAAGCAUCUCAUCAAGUAAUUCAUCAUUGUGAAGAGAAUACCUAGUCCAUAAUUCAAAAGCAUGAGCAUUUUUUAGACACUGGCAGAAAGAAAUCAUUACUUCUUUCAUAAGAAGGCUAAUAGUAUCUAUUUCUCAACAGCACCAGUAAUGGAAAUCCAUAACUAUAUGGUAAACAAAAGCAUUCCGUUCAACUUCCUAAUACCUGGCAGGUGUUCGUGGAAAACCAACUCAAUUCGUAGUGGCAUUUCUUCCAAAUAAAUAAUAUUACAAGCUAUUAAUAACUUAUGGAAAAAUGGAAAGAAGAAUUUUCAUCUUAAAUAGGGCUGAAAUGAUGUUAAGUAGCUUCUACUUUCAGAUUCAUGCACAAAUCUACAAAUUAAGGAAUAUUCUAUUACAUUCAACUAGCAAACAAGAAACAAUUAAAUUCUGAUUUUUAGGAAUUUCCAGAAAUUCAUUGCAAGCCAUUAAACUAAUGGGAACACAAACCGAUAAUAAAAAGAAAACACGAACUUGUGGAAUGACAAUCAAUCAGAAGACACGUGUAUUUAGACCCACUUAAAAGCCAAUAAACUUAAGCUUAGCUAUGCUAAUUCGAAGAAAUUCUAAUAUUGUAGAAAUACAACUUUCAAACGAUAAACUGUCCAAAGUUUAUGUAAGACUUAGAAAUUACAAUAUAGUCUAAGAAAUAAGAAACAGAUAUAAAUAUCCAUAUAGUCUAAGAAAUAACAAUUCUGCUCCUUUUCCUCUCAUAUUGAUUGAUCAUGCAAGAUAUAAUGCUAAACAAAAUAAGCAUUACGAGACAACUAAAAUAAAAAUAAAAAUCAACCCAAGAUAUCAAACUAGAGAAAAUGUAGCUGCACAACACUUAUAUAUACAAUUAGCUUCGCACAUAACAGUAUAAGAAAACAAAAGAGAAGAAUAAAAAGAACAAACCUUCACAAAGUUUCCAAGUGUCUUAGUAGAGCCCCUGGAUGAGGUGAACACAUCCUCAAUUCCAGCAAACUGCAAAACCUUCUUAGGGACUCGAGCAGCGACAAUCCCAGCACCACGUGGAGCAGGCACCAUUCUCACUGUAACGGAUCCACACUUGCCAGUCACCUUGCAAGGCACU
rnacentral:lncRNA from 1 species